CUCAUCUCCUCUAUUCUCUCUCUUUCUCAGUGCCUCACCACCACCAUGGCCCCCGACUAAGACGACUCUCCUCUUCCUCCGUAGACGAUGUCGUUGACGAGGACGAAGAUGAAGUCAUCAACUCCGCCUCUCAUUCCUCCAUCUCUAAUUCCCUCCCCAUCGCCAUAGCCACCGCUCCUCCCACCUUCACUGCCUCUUUUUCCUCAAUACCCAUCAAAGACUCUCCUUUUCCUCAACACCCAACUCGGUCUUGCAACUCGCUUUGGCCAACCAGUGGUCCGCCGAGCUAGAGAGCGAGUUGUCCGAGUCACACCGAUCACACCAUAGGCUUCCAAUUUCUUCAAUUGGGUAUGUGAGAAAAAUGGGUUUAGGCCAAGCUCUUUGAUUUUUAGCCUCUGCCGCUGCAUUUUUGCUCCACUGCUGGGGCCGAAAGCUUGACCCCCCCCCCCCCGGUCUGACAGCUCUUCUUCUUCUCAUAGCCGCUUCCAUCUCCGACUAACAAUCCGCUUUCUCCUUCCUCUCUCAUAUUAGGGAUCCUCGUGCUACUCACAAUUGCUGGGCAUACAAGGUGGGGGAUCAGUACCGGUCUAAUGAUGAUGGUGAGCCAUCGGGAAUGGUCGGGAAGCCCAUUCAUUAUGUUAUUGAGUCUUCAAGAAUUGAUAGAGUAAUGGUCGUCGUCAUCCGUUUGAGGAGUUUCAAGCAGGUUUUUGUGGAUUUUGGGUGGUGGGUUUGGUUUGGAAUUUUGGUUGGAGUUGAUUUCAGGUGGUGGAGGUUGAGGAUUUAGCUCCAGAAUACUUUGUUUUUGAUGGAGAGGGACGGAUCCACACCAAAGACAAGAAAUCAGUCGCUGGUGGGAUGAACGGAGGAGCUGACGUCACAGCCUGAAUCGGAGGAGAGUCUUUGGGUCUGCCCAUCAGAGAUGAGAGAGACAAGAAGAAGAGGAUCAAAGGAAGAAGAAGAAAUGAGUAAAAAAUUAAUUUUGUCUUGAAAUGGCUAUUUUAGCCCUUGUAGUGGGUCUGAUAGUCAGAGUUAACGUCCAAUUUGGACGGAAAAUGAGACAUUAGACACGGUUGAGGAAAAGCUCAGGGGGUAAAAAUUCAAAAUUGAGAAUAGAGGGGGUGACACCCCCAAACCUCAGAACAUGAAUACUCGGAGUUGAAGGAACGUUCAAACUUAAAGAUUCAUAAGAGGAUGAGUAGAGCCUGAUAUACGAGGAUUCCACUAGACAACCAC